rnacentral:rRNA from 1 species
UACAGAGGUCCCAAGCGUUGUUCGGAUUCAUUGGGCGUAAAGGGUGCGUAGGCGGCGCGGUAAGUCGGGUGUGAAAUCUCGGAGCUUAACUCCGAAACUGCAUUCGAUACUGCCGUGCUUGAGGACUGGAGAGGAGACUGGAAUUCAUGGUGUAGCAGUGAAAUGCGUAGAGAUCAUGAGGAAGACCAGUGGCGAAGGCGGGUCUCUGGACAGUUCCUGACGCUGAGGCACGAAGGCCAGGGGAGCAAACGGG